UACGGAGGGUGCAAGCGUUAUCCGGAUUCACUGGGUUUAAAGGGUGCGUAGGAGGGCAGGUAAGUCAGUGGUGAAAUCUCCAAGCUUAACUUGGAAACUGCCGUUGAUACUAUCUGUCUUGAAUAUUGUGGAGGUGAGCGGAAUAUGUCAUGUAGCGGUGAAAUGCUUAGAUAUGACAUAGAACACCAAUUGCGAAGGCAGCUCGCUACACAUAUAUUGACUCUGAGGCACGAAAGCGUGGGGAUCGAACAGG
rnacentral:rRNA from 1 species